GAGUAAUGUCUGGGAAACUGCCUGAUGGAGGGGGAUAACUACUGGAAACGGUAGCUAAUACCGCAUAACGUCGCAAGACCAAAGAGGGGGACCUUCGGGCCUCUUGCCAUCGGAUGUGCCCAGAUGGGAUUAGCUAGUAGGUGGGGUAACGGCUCACCUAGGCGACGAUCCCUAGCUGGUCUGAGAGGAUGACCAGCCACACUGGAACUGAGACACGGUCCAGACUCCUACGGGAGGCAGCAGUGGGGAAUAUUGCACAAUGGGCGCAAGCCUGAUGCAGCCAUGCCGCGUGUAUGAAGAAGGCCUUCGGGUUGUAAAGUACUUUCAGCGGGGAGGAAGGGAGUAAAGUUAAUACCUUUGCUCAUUGACGUUACCCGCAGAAGAAGCACCGGCUAACUCCGUGCCAGCAGCCGCGGUAAUACGGAGGGUGCAAGCGUUAAUCGGAAUUACUGGGCGUAAAGCGCACGCAGGCGGUUUG
rnacentral:rRNA from 1 species